rnacentral:rRNA from 1 species
CUUUAAAUUUAAAGAAUUUGGCGGUAUUUUAGUCUAGUUAGAGGAACCUGUUUCGUAAACGACAAAACACGAAGUAUCUUACUAGCUUUUGUUUUCAGUUUGUAUACCGCCAUUAUUAGAUAACUUUUAUAGAAUUAAGUCAUUGAAAAUAAGAAUGAGUUAAGUAUAUUAGGUCAAGGUGCAGCUCAUGGGUUAGAGAGAAUGGGUUACAAUAAAAUUUAUUUAUACGGAUUUGGUAAGGGAAUCUUACUAUUAAGGAGGAUUUAAUUGUAAUGAAAAAGGUUAACAAGGUUUGAUGAUAUUAGUACUAAAUUAUGUACACAUACGCCCG